CACUUGAGAAGGGACAAAUAGUGAGGGAGUUGGUUCGGUUGUGUAUUUUUUAUUUUUUUUAUUUCUUUCCAUUACUUUAAAAAUUAAAAACAAAUUUGGUCUUUAUUUUUAAACUAGGAAUAUGUAAUGCAAUAAAAUUGUCUUUUUGCUGUUUGAGAAUAUUAAUAAAGUUUCAUCUUCCUUUAGAGACUCGGAGCUCAAACAGCAGCUAUAAAGAGAGAAGCAUUUACUGCAUUUCUUGAUGCCCAAACAGUAGGAGGAUUCCCUAUCUGUGUUUACUUCAUUAGCAAUGGCUUCCCACCACCUUGUGUUCAGUUUCUACGGUAAUCAAGUGCUUGAUUGCUUAAUGGUUUAUGCUAAUUCUCUUGAAUUAUGUUUACUAUUCAAGAUGUAAUGCAGAUAUUAGAAUAUAGUUGUUUUUUUUUUUGUUUGUUUUUUUUUCCCAGCCACACAUCUUCUUUGUUGCCUAUGGGGAAGGAUGUUAGCUAGUAGCAUUAAUACUGCAUCCAAAUUACAGGAAACUUGUUUUUCUUUUUAACUGUGUCUAUAGUGAUGUCUCUAGAUUAGUUUGUUUUGAAGAUGAGCAACUGGAUGAAAGAUAUUUAGAUGACAAAAAAGCACAGCAGUCUGAUUUUUGUGGGUGUAAAAUGUCCAACAAGCUGAAGCCCCACAUCUCUUGGACUUACAGUUACGCACCAGUCUAACGAGUAUUUAGCUGAAUUCCUUCUCAGAUUUCUUCUUGAUUCUCUACACUGAGAUUCUUCUGACUUUUAUCCGCCGUUGCUGACCUGAAUCACUUAAUUUGAAACCCAUUGUAUAAAGACUGCCUAAUAAGCGAGUCCAUACAUAGCACAGCUUCUGCCAACACUGCCCUUUUUUUUUUUUAAUCUCUUUUGAUUCACGCUAAAGAUGGUGUCAGCAUACAACUGUGCAGCUGUAAACUGGCCAGCGCCGUAUAACUCCUCCUCAUGAGUGUCGGUAAGCUUUUCUGGACAGCAUGCGGUGUGCCGAGUAUGUUCUGGGCACUGUCUUUCAUGUGAGCCUCAGUGCUGGCUGCUGUGAUGCACUGAUCCAGUCCAGUGCCCUUCAGAACAAUUGGCCAUCCAUGGAACAGGGCUCACUGUUUUGACAGCCAGUGCCUGCAGUGUCACAGCACAUUACUCUCCCAUUAGGUGGUCAGAAAGGAGCAAUAUCUGCUUCCUUGGACCUUGGGGGUGAGGGGGGGGGGGGCUCACUAUUUGCAAAAAUAACUCUGGCUAAGAAAAAAGAAGCAUGGAGUGCUUUUAUAACUAACAUGCGUGCAAGUAAAAGUCUUGUCACCCAUUCGUUAGCUUGGUCAGCUUUAUCGUUGCUGAUAUUGGAGCUUUUCCCAGCUAGAAUUAGGCAGGGGAGUGAGAACACCCUGAACAGGUGCCAAGUCCAUCGCAAGGCUAACACAAGGACAGCCAAUGCCUAACAAUGGAUGCUUGUGGACAUCAUACAGAAAGGCCCCCAGGUGACCAGCAGUCCCUUUUUUCCAGUUGUCUGUCAGUGCAAACCGCUGCUCCACCUGGCUUGUCAGGUAAAUACAGAAACUAAUCGGUGUAAUCACUCCUGAAGGUGUGAAAACACUUUCUGGACCUAUUAAGUCAACACAGUUUCUCAGCUAUUUCCCUUUAACUGAGUUACAUUUGGUUCAGAAGGCUGAGCUACCAGGCUUUAUAAAGUAGUCCUCAGUCACCCUGUGAGCUUGGAGAUACGCUGUUAUUUUUAUAACAUGAGGCAGAUUGUGAAGCCACUCAUCCUUGAAAAUAGUCUGCUGAGAAGACGUUUGGACUUUUAGACGUCAAAGCUCUGCUUUUUAAUCCACCUGUUUCCCCUUUAUCAAACUACUGAAUGAUAAAUAUUCUACUCUGCCACUUUGGUCACUGUUGGUAGGUUGCAUAAAUAACAUAUCUGGAAAUUACAUAACUUUUCUUUUUUGAACACAAACUGAUCCUUCACAUUUCUGAUUCAUGGUAUCGUUAUAGCAUAUAAAGAAACUGUUGCUUAUUAUUAUUAUUAUUAUUUUUUUUUUUUUAGGAAGCGUAACAGUGAUCUCAGACCUGGAUAUUUAUAAGGAUUACUUGUACAAAACGAGAUACAGCUAAGUUUCCUUUAGUGGUUAAAAUAGAAGAAGCAUUGAUGCUCUCAGUUGUGACUACUCUUAAAUGUUUGACUCUGGAAAAUUGUGGGGAAAAAUGCUGUGUGUUUGCUAUAAAGCCGGUUCCCUCACGGUAUAUUUCAUUUGACAACAGAGUGUAAAAUCCUUCAGAAACCUUCUAUCCGUAAAACACUAAGAAUCCCCUAAUUUAUCUUUAUAUUUUCUGCUAUCAGCUCAACAACCAAAACACUAAAAUGGAUGGAAAGUUUAAAUCUAAACAUAUGGAGACAUUAGCUCCCAAACACCACUUUUUAAUUGCGCUGCCACCUCUUUCGCACCUCUAAAUGUGUUGCGCUUUCUUGGCACCAACAAUGUCAGGAGUGACCUUCAGCAAGCCAGGGCUCAUGAAUAUACCAAGACAGGAUUACAGAUGUUCCCAGUCAAGAGUCCCCCCCCUCCUCCAGACACGGGGUCCAGUUGGUGUGUUUGUUCUGCCUCAGUGCUGUCUCUCAUCAUUAUAUUCAAUUCCUGGCAGAACCAAUGAACAGGUGCUGGUGUGGGCCUGAGUAAAAUAAAAGUUGAAUUCUGCCCACAACUUUGCUGCAUAUUGCUGUAAGUUGCAUGUCCUUUUUCUGCAAUAAAUAGACUUUUUCUAUCUAAAACCAUCCCCAGACCUGUAUUGGCAUUUGUAGUCUAUCUUUUAAGUAGAUUAAUCUUUUACUCUUCUGGUUGAAAAAUAGUGAAAAAUCUAACAUUUAAUUUCAGAACAUUUGCUAAGUGUAAAAAAAAUAAGCUCUCUUUUUAAAAUCUAAUUGUUUUAUGUCCUCUCUUUUUACCUACAUAAUCUCUCUAGAUUUGGUUCAUCACUUGGGCUCGGGGACUGGAAUGACGAUGCUUAUUGUAUUUGAAAUCAUUAUUCUAUCAUAAGACCAAAUUAACACCCAUUUUUAGAUUUCUGGCAGAACCCACCAAACUUAACUUUUAAAUGUUCUGCUAUGUCAGGCAGUUCCACGUGGGUUUUUGAAGACAAACAGGCCCCCGCCAUCACAAAUCUGCCAUGCUCAACAGUUAGCCAGAGGCACUUUACCUCACAUUCAUCUUUUGUUUCAUGGCAGGUCAACCUGGAGAGUUUGUUGCAGAAAAAUCUUGCUCUCUAUCUGAACUUUGGCACAGACAAUCAUAGUUCCCCAAAGAUGAUCCUGACAGACACGUUUAUGUCUUUCUUAAAAUGGAAUAAAUCCAUGUUGGCUGAGUUGAAUUUGAGUCAUUCUUUUAAGACUAGACUUUGUGCACUAGAGUAUAAAACUUACCCCUGUGGUUUAAUAUCUUGACAGCUUAUUUUGUACAUGUCCAUGCAUUUUUAAAAAUUGAUUUACAUUUACUAAAGUUAUAUAAUUAGUUUAAACCUCUCACAACUGAAGAGGUCCUACCUGUUCCUUAUGUUCCCUUGAGAUUUAUGAUGGCAUUUGUCCUUGUCUCAUUCCUCCUUCCCUUAAUAUUCCAUCGUAGUUUUCCUUGAUGGAUUUCUUAAGUUAAGCAUCAGUGACUCACUCUAUUGGAAAGGUGCCUGCCCUGCUGUAGUCUUUGUUAAAUUAAAUUAGGGGUAUUCUUUCUCUUGGAGACCUUAAUGUUUGUGUGUGUAGGUGUGUGUGUGUGGAUUAAAGUGAGGCUGCGGUAAUCCCAUCCUGGAGGAACAUCUUCGCUGCUUUAUUCUGCUGAAUCAUGUUGCGACGCCUGAGUAAGUUCAGGAGUCACCUGGCUCACCUUCGCUGUUUGUCUGCGCGUUCGUCCUGCCCUGCACCGACGGACCUCUCCUCUCCCUCCGACUCACCCUUUCAAUUGUUUUAAGCAUCUGGUGAAAACCAGUGUGACUCCUUCCAUUCAGGGUUGUAUGAAUAGUAACUACACGAAUAUGAAAAACAAUAACGAGUAAUAAUUUCCUUUCUGUUCACAUUUGACUGUUGGUUACUGUGUACGUAUGUGUGCUUGGUGUUCUUGUGUUUUUGUUUCUUUACGGAGCAUUGUGAAGAAUAAUUACUUUAUUUUUGUUUGUUUGUUUUUUAAAAAACUUCAUGUAAAUAUUGUUGGUGAAAAUUAACAUUUAUUGUACUCCGAGUUUUCGUUUGUCACUCGAGGCGAUGAAGAAAACAACGAUACACAUGAAUAACAAUGGUGAUGUUGAUGAUGAUGAUGAAGCUGAUUAUACCUGCCCUUCUUGAACAAGGGCUUUUGAUGUCUGCUGUAUUUUUGUUGGGGGCGUCUUGAGGUCAAGGCAAGACAAGCGACGGGGAAGGAGUGGUACCCGACACAUCCCAGGUUCUUUGUAGCAACACUGCCACAAGUCCCCGAAUUCACCCAGGUAACUCAAAGCGACACAAAUUGUAGCCAUGAAGCAUCAUUGCAUUCUUACAACAUGCUUUGCGGUGUGUGAGAACAACACACACCUCCAUGUUGAGUCACUCCAACCCAGUCGCUUGGCAUCACAUCCCCCCCCCCCAUCAGCUUACAGGCUCUGGGAUUUACUGAAAUGCCAUUGUGUUAGAAGGGAUUGACCCUGUCCUGACACCCAUGAUGCCUUGCUCAUCGAAUCUGGAGUCAUUAUUGAUGUGUAGGAAGCCAUACAUAAGGAUGGACAUGGCUUCCAUCAUCCUACAGCAACAAGGGUAAUUUGCAUGCAUGUUUUAAUUCCCAACUGGGCUGAUGUGAACUUGCCAAAUAACCGGCUUGUCUGUUGCUCUGUGAACUAUUUGCAAGAGCUCUCAAACGCCAGCAAGGACAGUUCAGGAUUAGAGAGAAAGCCGAACUAUAAACUGCCAUAUUGUGAUGGAAAAAAAAAAAAAAACUCAAAUAAUACUUGCACCAUCGAUCCUCUUCCAAACAGAUUUUAGCUGUGCCAUAUCACAACCUUUGUUUUCUCCAGGACUCGUCUGCAAAAACACUGUUAGAUGUUAAAUCAUGUAUUAGUUGUAACUUCAGGGAAUGCUGACGGAGCUUUUCUGUGCCGAUUGAUCAUUAAUUAGUUAGAAGAUAUGGUGAUGUCACACUGUGUGUGAGAGAGAGCAGUCGGUGUCGCAUAUGUCUGCAGUUUAACAAGAUUUCGGAAACAUGUUAAAAGAUCUU